rnacentral:rRNA from 1 species
UAGAGUUUGAUCCUGGCUCAGGACGAACGCUGGCGGCGUGCCUAAUACAUGCAAGUCGAGCGAGCCCUUCGGGGCUAGCGGCGGACGGGUGAGUAACACGUGGGCAAUCUGCCUUUCAGACUGGAAUAACACUCGGAAACGGGUGCUAAUGCCGGAUAAUACACGGGUAGGCAUCUACUUGUGUUGAAAGAUGCAACUGCAUCGCUGAGAGAGGAGCCCGCGGCGCAUUAGCUAGUUGGUGAGGUAACGGCUCACCAAGGCGACGAUGCGUAGCCGACCUGAGAGGGUGACCGGCCACACUGGGACUGAGACACGGCCCAGACUCCUACGGGAGGCAGCAGUAGGGAAUCUUCCGCAAUGGGCGCAAGCCUGACGGAGCAACGCCGCGUGAGCGAAGAAGGCCUUCGGGUUGUAAAGCUCUGUUGCUCGGGGAGAGCGACAAGGAGAGUGGAAAGCUCCUUGUGAGACGGUACCGAGUGAGGAAGCCCCGGCUAACUACGUGCCAGCAGCCGCGGUAAUACGUAGGGGGCAAGCGUUGUCCGGAAUCACUGGGCGUAAAGCGUGCGUAGGCGGUUGUGUAAGUCUGAAGUGAAAGUCCAAGGCUCAACCUUGGGAUUGCUUUGGAAACUGCAUGACUUGAGUGCUGGAGAGGCAAGGGGAAUUCCACGUGUAGCGGGGAAAUGCGUAGAUAUGUGGAGGAAUACCAGUGUCGAAAGCGCCUUGCUGGACAGUG